rnacentral:rRNA from 1 species
UACGGAGGGGGCUAGCGUUAUUCGGAAUUACUGGGCGUAAAGCGCACGUAGGCGGCUUUGUAAGUAAGAGGUGAAAGCCCGGAGCUCAACUCCGGAACUGCCUUUUAGACUGCAUCGCUUGAAUCCAGGAGAGGUGAGUGGAAUUCCGAGUGUAGCGGUGAAAUGCGCAGAUAUCGGGAAGAACACCCGUGGCGAAGGCGGCUCUCUGGGACGGUACUGACGCUGAGACGCGAAAGCGUGGGGAGCGAACAGG